AUUCACUCUCAGACAACUGCCCAGACGAGACACGCCCACCCGAGGGGGCAAUCAACCAUAACUCUUACAAAUCCUCGGGUUUCCGGUGUGCAUUGUAACAUUGCUGAGCCACGUCACAAAGUACACCCUUCUGCCUGCGUGAGGCGUGAGGCGUGGGGCGUGAGGCGUGAGACACGAGGCGUGAGGCGUGAGGAGUGAGGAGGAGAAGCGGCUAUAAGUCUGAAGAUAGAGAAGAGGAGAGAAAGUGAAGAAAAGUGAAAAGUGGAAAAGAAAAAGUAAAACGUAUCACACCCGGACUUUACGAUCGCAACUUUUGUGACGUAAUCAAAAUCUGACGUCAUGACCUCCUCGAGUUGCUACUGAUCUAGCCUUUCCCUUUGUUAUCCCCUUCAUCACGUUUUUUUAUGUACACGUGUCACCUUCCGACAAGUAUGUAGACUACUA